UGAGGAAUAUUGGUCAAUGGGCGCAAGCCUGAACCAGCCAUGCCGCGUGCAGGAAGAAGGUCCUAUGGAUUGUAAACUGCUUUUAUCAGGGAAUAAACCUCUUUACGUGUAGAGAGCUGAAGGUACCUGAUGAAUAAGCACCGGCUAACUCCGUGCCAGCAGCCGCGGUAAUACGGAGGGUGCAAGCGUUAUCCGGAAUCAUUGGGUUUAAAGGGUCCGCAGGCGGGAAAAUAAGUCAGUGGUGAAAUCUCUCGGCUCAACCGAGAAACUGCCAUUGAUACUGUUUUUCUUGAAUUCGAUCGAAGUGGGCGGAAUGUGACAUGUAGCGGUGAAAUGCUUAGAUAUGUCACAGAACACCGAUAGCGAAGGCAGCUCACUAGGUCUGGAUUGACGCUCAGGGACGAAAGCGUGGGGAGCAAACAGGAUUAGAUACCCGUGUAGUCC
rnacentral:rRNA from 1 species